rnacentral:lncRNA from 1 species
CCCCAUCUGAGCAGGAUCCGUCUGCUUUCACUAGCUGCAAAGCCUGACACCAGCACUUGAAAGCACCUUAGACCCGCAGACCAUUUUUCACUUCUCUUUAAGUGCAAGCGAUGGGAAUUGCUAACCUCGGCUAAGAAAAUUUCAUUUUCCCCAUCCUGCUAAACGGUUCUGGUCGACAUAUGUUUGUUAUCAGAGAGAGGUGCUAUGAACACAGAGCCAUUUUCUUAGCAGCUCUUUGACUCUGUGUUACCAUAGUCCCACACGGCAUUGGUCCUUUCCCGUUGGGAAGUCAUGAAUAAGAGACUAUGAAGCUUGCACGUCAGAUCUUCCUCAAUUAAUCCACCAUUAGCAUGUUCGGGAUCCUCUACUGGAUGGUUAACAGCAGCUUUGGUAACUGUAUGCUGUCCAUACCCAAUUAUGCUCUGCUAAAAAUGAACUCUGCAGAACAACCUUCCUGAGCUGUCAGUGUCUCCCGUUUUCCUAUUUUAACGCUUGUGUGUAGUGGCAGGCGACAGAUGGUGUAGAUCAGAUCGAUUUGAUUGCAUUAGGCGAUUUUUUUUUUUUCCUCCUCUCCCCCCCGACUCCUUUUCUGGAAGCCCACAUUCAUCUGAGAGGCGAUCGCCGGGGACAUGGGAAGCAAGAGCAGCCGCCGAUGUGUGAAAGCAACGAGACAUGGCCAGCCAGAGGCGCCGGGGUCCCUUCACGGGGUUUGUUAACAUGGUAAUCCGGCACCAGGAGAGAAAGCUGCUUUCUGCUGCCCAGAGCCCAUUCCCCAUCACACAUCAGAUGACUCCCUGGCUUUACACACAGUUGGAGUUCUGCUCGAAACCUGGAUUUAAAGGGAAUCUGUUGCUGCGUGUGACAUCUCCUGCAAGCUCCCAGAGAGAAUUGAUGGAGCAUACAGCUAGGGAAUAG